rnacentral:rRNA from 1 species
GACGAACGCUGGCGGCGUGCCUAAUACAUGCAAGUAGAACGCUGAAGGAGGAGCUUGCUUCUCUGGAUGAGUUGCGAACGGGUGAGUAACGCGUAGGUAACCUGCCUGGUAGCGGGGGAUAACUAUUGGAAACGAUAGCUAAUACCGCAUAAGAGUAGAUGUUGCAUGACAUUUGCUUAAAAGGUGCAAUUGCAUCACUACCAGAUGGACCUGCGUUGUAUUAGCUAGUUGGUGGGGUAACGGCUCACCAAGGCGACGAUACAUAGCCGACCUGAGAGGGGGAUCGGCCACACUGGGACUGAGACACGGCCCAGACUCCUACGGGAGGCAGCAGGAGGGAAUCUUCGGCAAUGGACGGAAGUCUGACCGAGCAACGCCGCGUGAGUGAAGAAGGGUUUCGGAUCGGAAAGCUCUGUUGUAAGAGAAGAACGAGUGUGAGAGUGGAAAGUUCACACUGUGACGGUAGCUUACCAGAAAGGGACGGCUAACUACGUG